GACGAACGCUGGCGGCGUGCCUAAUACAUGCAAGUCGAGCGGACGUUUUUGAAGCUUGCUUCAAAAACGUUAGCGGCGGACGGGUGAGUAACACGUGGGCAACCUACCUUAUCGACUGGGAUAACUCCGGGAAACCGGGGCUAAUACCGGAUAACAUCUAGCACCUCCUGGUGCCGGAUUAAAAGAGGGCUUCUUGCUCUCACGAUGUGAUGGGCCCGCGGCGCAUUAGCUAGUUGGAGAGGUAACGGCUCCCCAAGGCGACGAUGCGUAGCCGACCUGAGAGGGUGAUCGGCCACACUGGGACUGAGACACGGCCCAGACUCCUACGGGAGGCAGCAGUAGGGAAUCUUCCGCAAUGGACGAAAGUCUGACGGAGCAACGCCGCGUGAGUGAUGAAGGGUUUCGGCUCGUAAAGCUCUGUUAUGAGGGAAGAACACGUACCGUUCGAAUAGGGCGGUACCUUGACGGUACCUCAUCAGAAAGCCACGGCUAACUACGUGCCAGCCGCCGCUGUAACAC
rnacentral:rRNA from 1 species